UACAGAGGGUGCGAGCGUUGUCCGGAAUCACUGGGCGUAAAGGGCGCGUAGGUGGCUCUCCAAGUCCAUGGUGAAAGCUCGAUGCUCAACAUCGAGUCGGCCACGGAUACUGGGGUGCUCGAGCACUGUAGAGGCAGAUGGAAUUCCGGGUGUAGCGGUGGAAUGCGUAGAGAUCCGGAAGAACACCGGUGGCGAAGGCGGUCUGCUGGGCAGUUGCUGACACUGAGGCGCGACAGCGUGGGGAGCAAACAGG
rnacentral:rRNA from 1 species